rnacentral:rRNA from 1 species
UGGUGGAGUGAUUUGUCUGGUUAAUUCCGAUAACGAACGAGACCUUAACCUGCUAAAUAGCCCGGCCGGCUUUGGCUGGUCGCUGGCUUCUUAGAGGGACUAUCGGCGUUUAGCCGAUGGAAGUUUGAGGCAAUAACA